AUGGACAAGAUGAAGGCAGAUAGUGUACCUGCAUACAAAUUGGUUGAUAAAUGGUCACCAAGAACAUGGAUUAAAUCUUUUUUAAUCCUUUUCCAAAGUGUGACAUCCUACUCAAUAACAUGUCUGAAGAAUUUAAUAGAACAUAAUGCCACACACACAGUCCAUGCACACAUGGAUCCAAGUCAAACUCUAGGGUCCAUGGUUUAUCUCAUGCAGCAAAUGGAUAGGAAAGCGUACAAACCAAGCAUGGAUCAUGGACCUCUUCCAGAAUCAACAUUUGUUGCUCAAGCAAGAAAUUACAUACCCCCUCCCAGGGUUACAACUGCUAUGUCAAGAGGCAAUGUUAGAAGAAGAGGAGUCACUGAAGACAUACUAGAAGAUGUACCACAGUCAAGCAACCAAGCAGCUCCAACUUCAAGAGAAAGAAAGAGAAGAGCAGCUGGAGAUGGUGGAGCAGCUGGCAGGGGAGGCAAAGGAGUUGGUGGAGCAGGUGGAAGGGGAGGCAAAGGAGCUGGUGGAGCAGCUGGAACGGGAGGCAGAGAGAACUGGUGGAGCAGCUGGAAGGGAGGGAAGGGGUUCUGCAACAGAACGCGGCAAUGGAGGCAAGGGAGUUGA
rnacentral:rRNA from 1 species